rnacentral:rRNA from 1 species
AGGGAACAUUAGAAAUGGACGAAAGUCUGAUCUAGCAACACCGCGUGUGCGAAGAAGGCCUUCGGGUCGUAAAGCACUUUUUGGAAGGAAUAGGAAGGAAUGUACUUCCAGAAUAAGUCUCGGCUAACUACGUGCCAGCAGCCGCGGUAACACGUAGGAGGCAAACGUUAUCCGGAUUUACUGGGCGUAAAGCGCGUGUAGGUGGUACUGUAAGUAGGGCGUGAAAGCUCUUGGCUCAACUGGGAGAGGCCGUUCUAAACUACAGAACUAGAGGAUGGUAGAGGGAGGUGGAAUUCCAGGUGUAGCGGUGGAAUGCGCAGAUAUCUGGAGGAACACCGGUGGCGAAGGCGGCCUCCUGGACCAUUCCUGACACUCAGACGCGAAAGCUAGGGUAGCAAACGG